CAGUCGCCGCGGUAAUACGUAGGGUGCGAGCGUUAAUCGGAAUUACUGGGCGUAAAGCGUGCGCAGGCGGUUCGUUAAGACAGAUGUGAAAUCCCCGGGCUUAACCUGGGAACUGCAUUUGUGACUGGCGAGCUAGAGUAUGGCAGAGGGGGGUAGAAUUCCACGUGUAGCAGUGAAAUGCGUAGAGAUGUGGAGGAACACCGAUGGCGAAGGCGAUCCCCUGGGCCUGCACUGACGCUCAUGCACGAAAGCGUGGGGAGCAAACAGGAUUAGAUACCCCCGUAGUCCCUGUCUCUUAUAC
rnacentral:rRNA from 1 species